GAUGAACGCUGGCGGCGUGCCUAAUACAUGCCAGUCGAGCGAACAGAUGAGGAGCUUGCUCCUCUGACGUUAGCGGCGGACGGGUGAGUAACACGUGGAUAACCUACCUAUAAGACUGGGAUAACUUCGGGAAACCGGAGCUAACACCGGAUAAUAUAUUGAACCGCAUGGUUCAAUAGUGAAAGACGGUUUUGCUGUCACUUAUAGAUGGAUCCGCGCCGCAUUAGCUAGUUGGUAAGGUAACGGCUUACCAAGGCAACGAUGCGUAGCCGACCUGAGAGGGUGAUCGGCCACACUGGAACUGAGACACGGUCCAGACUCCUACGGGAGGCAGCAGUAGGGAAUCUUCCGCAAUGGGCGAAAGCCUGACGGAGCAACGCCGCGUGAGUGAUGAAGGUCUUCGGAUCGUAAAACUCUGUUAUUAGGGAAGAACAAAUGUGUAAGUAACUAUGCACGUCUUGACGGUACCUAAUCAGAAAGCCACGGCUAACUACGUG
rnacentral:rRNA from 1 species